CGGGUAACGGGGUGUUAGGGCACGACACCGGAGAGGGAGCCUGAGAAACGGCUACCACAUCCAAGGAUGGCAGCAGGCGCGCAAAUUACCCAAUCCCGACACGGGGAGGUAGUGACAAUAAAUAACAAUACGGGGUCCUUACGGGUCUCGUAAUUGGAAUGAGUACAAUUUAAAUCUCUUAACGAGGAACAAUUGGAGGGCAAGUCUGGUGCCAGCAGCCGCGGUAAUUCCAGCUCCAAUAGCGUAUAUUAAAGUUGUUGCAGUUAAAAAGCUCGUAGUUGAAUUUCGGGAUCAGUACGCUGGUCAUGCCUUUGGUAUGCACUGGUGUCACUGGUUUCUCCCUUCUGAAGAACCGUGAUGUCAUUAAUUUGGUGUCGCGGGGAAUCAGGACUGUUACUUUGAAAAAAUUAGAGUGUUUAAAGCAGGCUCACGCUUGAAUACAUUAGCAUGGAAUAAUGAAAUAGGACGUUUGACCCUAUUUUGUUGGUUUCUAGGAUCGACGUAAUGAUUAAUAGGGAUAGUUGGGGGCAUUAGUAUUCAAUUGUCAGAGGUGAAAUUCUUGGAUUUAUUGAAGACUAACUACUGCGAAAGCAUUUGCCAAGGAUGUUUUCAUUAAUCAAGAACGAAAGUUAGGGGAUCGAAGACGAUCAGAUACCGUCGUAGUCUUAACCAUAAACUAUGCCGACUAGGGAUCGGAUGAUGUUAAUUUUAUAAUGACUCAUUCGGCGCCUUACGG
rnacentral:rRNA from 1 species